rnacentral:rRNA from 1 species
GACGAACGCUGGCGGCGUGCUUAACACAUGCAAGUCGAGCGGUAAGGCCCUUUCGGGGGUACACGAGCGGCGAACGGGUGAGUAACACGUGGGUGACCUGCCCUUAGCUCUGGGAUAAGCCUGGGAAACUGGGUCUAAUACCGGAUAUGACUCCAUGACGCAUGUUGUGGGGUGGAAAGCCUUGUGCGGCUAGGGAUGGGCCCGCGGCCUAUCAGCUUGUUGGUGGGGUGAUGGCCUACCAAGGCGACGACGGGUAGCCGGCCUGAGGGGGCGACCGGCCACACUGGGACUGAGACACGGCCCAGACUCCUACGGGAGGCAGCAGUGGGGAAUCUUGCGCAAUGGGCGAAAGCCUGACGCAGCGACGCCGCGUGAGGGAUGACGGCCU